rnacentral:tRNA from 1 species
UGGCUCAGUGGUAAGAGCACUUGUCUUGCAUGCAUGAGGCCCUGGGUUCGAUUCCUCAG